AUCACUUGUGGGAUUCGACGUCUGCCGUAUGACAGUGUUUUUGAAGCGGGACUACAAAAAAACAUGACUAACGGGAAUGUUUGUUUCGUAGCUUUCAAUAACAAUUUGUUAUAAAACUUUACAAGGGAAUCUUUAUAUGUAAUUGAAAAGAUUUCAAGCCCCAGUCGCCACAAAUCAACUAAGGUGCCGACAUUAAAAGAACAACACCUCCAUUUGUCAUCAUAGGAAUAAGGAACACCCCACAUGCAUGAAAGAAAAAAAACUGCUUUUAAAAAGAUCAAAUGAAAUGACUUGUUUUUUCCACGUCGUUCGCAGUAUAUAAAACCUGCCCAAAUUCGUUCUCCGUCUAAAGCGAUGACGACAGGACGACGGGAAUAGCAAUACGUCGAGAAACGAGCGACGCGGGGGAUUUUUGCCGUCUCAGCUGAAAGAUCCCCAAUAGCGGAGGGGAUCGUGUUUCUCAUUGGAGUGUAGCCACAGAGGUAGCACUGGCUGGCAGAACAUCGGGCUACUUCUAAUUGAUUCU